UCUUUCCUCCGGGAGGAUAAUGACGGUACCUGAAGAAUAAGCCCCGGCUAACUACGUGCCAGCAGCCGCGGUAAUACGUAGGGUGCAAGCGUUGUCCGGAAUUACUGGGCGUAAAGCGUGCGUAGGCGGUUAUUUAAGUCAGAUGUGAAAUCCCCGGGCUCAACCCCGGAACUGCAUUUGAUACUGGCUGCCCUAGAGUGCCGUAGAGGAGACUGGAAUUCCAAGUGUAGCGGUGAAAUGCGCAGAUGUCAUCAGGAACACCUACCCGUGAAGGCC
rnacentral:rRNA from 1 species